AGAGUUUGAUUAUGGCUCAGGAUGAACGCUGGCGGCGUGCUUAACACAUGCAAGUCGAACGGAGUUUUUAAACGGAAGUUUUCGGAUGGAAGUUUAGAACUUAGUGGCGGACGGGUGAGUAACGCGUGGGUAACCUGCCUCAUACAGGGGGAUAACAGUUAGAAAUGACUGCUAACACCGCAUAAUAUAGCGAAACCGCAUGAUUUUUGCUAUCAAAUAUUUAUAGGUAUGAGAUGGGCCCGCGUCUGAUUAGCCAGUUGGUGGGGUAAAGCCUACCAAGGCGACGAUCAGUAGCCGGCUUGAGAGAGUGACCGGCCACAUUGGGACUGAGACACGGCCCAAACUCCUACGGGAGGCAGCAGUGGGGAAUAUUGGACAAUGGGGGAAACCCUGAUCCAGCGAACCGCCGCGUGAGUGAAGAAGUAUUUCGGUAUGUAAAGCUCUAUCAGCAGGGAAGAUAAUGACAGUACCUGACUAAGAAGCCCCGGCUAACUACGUGCCAGCAGCCGC
rnacentral:rRNA from 1 species